GUAGGGAAUAUUGCACAAUGGGCGAAAGCCUGAUGCAGCAACGCCGCGUGCACGAUGAAGGCCUUCGGGUCGUAAAGUGCUUUUCGGGGAGAUGAGAAUGGACAGUAUCCCCGGAAUAAGGAUCGGCUAACUACGUGCCAGCAGCCGCGGUAAAACGUAGGAUCCGAGCGUUAUCCGAAUUUACUGGGCGUAAAGCGCGUGUAGGCGGUUCGGUAAGUUGGAUGUGAAAUCUCCUGGCUCAACUGGGAGAGGUCGUUCAAUACUGUCGGACUAGAGGGUGGUAGAGGGAGGUGGAAUUCCCGGUGUAGUGGUGAAAUGCGUAGAUAUCGGGAGGAACACCUGUGGCGAAAGCGGCCUCCUGGACCAUUCCUGACGCUCAGACGCGAAAGCUAGGGGAGCGAACGGGAUUAGAAACCCGUGUAGUCC
rnacentral:rRNA from 1 species